rnacentral:rRNA from 1 species
AUGACAUACAUAGUGGAGCUGAACCUACUAGCUUGCUCGUGUCAAAGAUGGCAGCUAACUGGUAUUCCAUGUAGCCACUCCAUAGCAUGCUUGAGAUCUGAGAGGAUUAAACCCGAGCAGAUGGUUAACAACUGUUAUUCACUAAAUUCCUAUAUGCAAGCAUAUGGUGCAAAUAUCAUGCCCCUGAGAGACCAGACAGAGUGGCAGCAAGUAAAUGGGCCAACAGUUUUGCCUCCAUCUUAUGAGAAGAAAGUAGGCAGACCACCUAAAAGCAGAAGAAAGGCUCCUGAGGAAAAAGCAGAUGGGACAAAAUUGAGCAAGCAUGGAGUGACAAUACAUUGUGGUUACUGUAGACGCCCUAACCAUAACAGGAUUGGGUGUCCUAGACUGAAAGCCAUUGCACAGGCUAAAGCAGUAGCUCAGAGGCAUGCACAGGAACAACCUCAAGUUGAUGAACAAGAACAAGCUGAGGGUGCUGCACAAGAACAUGCUCAAGGGGAUGAAACACAACCAGCAGCAAGACAAAGGAGGAAAAGGAGGAGAACAGUGCAUGAGCAAGUGGACAUGUCAUCUCUUAAUAUUAAUAGAGGGCCCACAACAGUAGAUGAAAAUGGAGAUGCAGACAUACCAGAAAUACUUCAGCAUAUUGAAGAGGUUCAACUGGAUCCUAGGCUAGAUCCAUUGAAUGUCAGAUCAAGUAUGGUUUCACAGCUAGGGCAACAGGCACCAACUUUUCAGAUAGAAGAAGACACUCCUAUCCCAACAAAGUGUGCAUUUGUUGCUGCUAACAGAUCUUCCAUACCUGCAGCUAGGGUCACAACUGUAACAACAGAAGGUGCUGUUGCAUUAAGAGGUAGGGGGAGAAAUAGAUCUGGGGGGAGGAGAGUUGCUGCUACAGCAGCUGCUGUUGUAAAUGUUGCUGCUAUUUAUGCUAGCACUAGCACAACUAGAGGAAGAGAAGCUGGAGCAAGAGGGAGAGGCAGAGGGGCUGGAGCAAGAGGGAGAGGAGCUGGAGCCAGAGGGAUAGGAGCUGCAGCAAGAGGCUGGGAAAAUUUGUUGUUUGGUCCUACUGAAAUGAACACCACUCAAAGUGCACCAUUUGACAUGUCACAGGAGUAA